CACUCUGGUGGCCUAUUGGUUAGAGUGUCCACCUUUGAUGCGGGAGGUCAUAGGUUCAAUCCCCGGUUGAGUCA